rnacentral:rRNA from 1 species
UACAGAGGGGGCAAGCGUUGUUCGGAAUUACUGGGCGUAAAGGGCGCGUAGGCGGCCUGCUAAGUCGAACGUGAAAUCCCUGGGCUCAACCCAGGAACUGCGUCCGAUACUGGUUGGCUUGAAUCCAGGAGAGGGAUGUGGAAUUCCAGGUGUAGCGGUGAAAUGCGUAGAUAUCUGGAGGAACACCGGUGGCGAAGGCGACAUCCUGGACCGGUAUUGACGCUGAGGCGCGAAAGCCAGGGGAGCAAACGGG